rnacentral:lncRNA from 1 species
CAAAAUUUUGCAAUCAGUAACAGUAAUUCACACCCUCCAUCGAUCUUCUUAGCGAAUUUCUCACCGGAAAGCGCUAUUUGUCAACUGUUAUAGUCCGUCGAAACUCCUUUAGAGUGAACCUCGCUGGAAAACCAGGACCAGCUGUUGCCAGUAACCAUCCUAUUCAAAUUGGAGUUUUGAGUGGGUUUCGGUAAAGUUCAUCGAGAACCACACUUUUUUUAGUUUUCUCGCGAUUUUGGUGUUCGGGUGGCUUGGAAAUUAAUUUCGUAUUGAGGUUUGUUCGAUUGGAGAGUUUGAGGUUGAUGAUGGUUGAUUCAAGUCAAUUCGAGGUUCAUCGGUUCCUGAGGCUCCGUCGCUGUUGAAAUCGAUUUGAGUUGUUGGAAUAAAAGCAUUGGGGUUCAUUUCUCAUCUCAUUCUCUAUUCUAUUUUAGAAUUUUGGUUGUUUGUUGUGGGUGUGAAUAACUUGUUUGUUUAGCAUGCUUGAAUCUUUGUUGUGUGUACGUAGUUGAUGUUGGAUUUGAUAGUUGAAGAAUUGGUUAAUUAGUUUGACAAUGAAAUUGGGGAAGACAGGAAUCGAAAGUUGAAAAAUGAAUAUUGUUAUGUUUUGAUUCAUCAAUUGUUGUUGAAUUUGAAAUGGAUAUCAAUGUCAUCGAACUUGAUAGUAUCAUGAUAGGUCGAGUGGGUAGGCAAACGUAGGUUGGGUAAGCAAAGUUUAGGACUUGUGGAAUAUCGAAUACUUGAAAUAUGUAUUGAAUGACUUGGUUUUAUUGCUUUUGGAUCAAAUGUAUAAUUUGACUGGGGAAUACCCCGAGGUAUUGUGUUUAUUUGCCGGGAAAUACCCCGAAAUAUUAUGUUGAUGGAAGAUGUCCGUGAUGAAGGCCCGAGACAUCGGGUAAAAACGUGGGAGCGUAUUUAGGAUUAGUGUAGGAUAGAUAGGAUUCAUUUUCGCAUUUUUCUAUUUUUGGACUGUAUAAAUUGGAUUGGACACUAUAUUUUUUAUUCACGUGGUUUUGUUUGUAUGUUUGACUGUUUACGUGUUUUGUGUGGUUUGUAGCCGAUACGCUUCACCAAGAGACCGUGGUCGAACCACGAGAUCGAGGGAUGCCUAACACCUUCCCCUCGGUCAAUAGAAUUCCUUGGCCGGAAUCUCUGUUCGCGGAUCAGUUUAAAGAGUCAAAAAUAGUUUUGAAAAAAAAUCUUUCAAAGAUGACUUGGCACACCGGAUUUUGUCAAGUGACGACUCUGAGUUUUGAUUGUUAAAAGUCCUUUUCAAAACAAGUUUCAUCUUUUGUCACCUUAAUAAUAAAAACCCUUUUCGAACUUAAAAUGAAUCUUUUGAUUGUAAAAAAGGGGUGUGACAGCUCUGGCGACUCUAUUGGGGACUCUUCAGAAUUCGAGCUUAUUUUUGGAGUUGUAGCGGCUUAGUUUGGCACUAUAGGUGUAUAGACAUUUUGUUAGAGUUGUUUUGUGUUAUUGUUUAUCAUUGUUGAGUGCCUACGUGCUUUUUGUUUAUAAUUUUUAUCGUAUGUGUUACUGCUUUAUAUCUGGCAUCAUGUGCAUAACCCGAGUCAUUUAUUCUGCAACAAGUCCUGGAGUGCACGUCGUGCACACAAAUUCUAGUUGAGUCACCCUUAUUUUAGGAGGGGGAGUCGUUGGACGUAUGGAGUGGGUGGAAAGCAAAACAGCCACUAUCGAUCAUAUGCUCCCCCGAACAGCCUUGUUAGUAAACCCCAACGUAGGUCAGCCUUUAGGUCAUGCUUAUCUGCAUUAUAUUAAGACCUAGUGGGACCCACGUGACCCUUUGUAGGAGACUCACCCCUAAAGCAUCCCUAUGUGCUAAAUGUUGCAUCUUUGAGGGUAACUUGAUCAUUUGAUGGACUGAUUCGAAAAAAACAUGUGUUAGAAGUAAGGUGCGUUUGAAAAAAAAAGAAGAAAAAAGUGAGUUGAAAAGUAAAAAAAUGAGUUUUGUAAUUUUUAGAAUUCUUUAUGGCUUCUGUUUUUCACAAUCCAAAAAUUUUAAAAAGAUUUUUUUUUUUUUUUUACCAUUUGCACUCAUUUUGUCAAAGACAAAAAUAUCAAAAAGAUUUUUCUUUGUUUGUUUAAUAAGCUUACAUAAUUUGAAAAUUUCAAAAAAGAUUUCUUUUAAUAGGAGCUUUUCAUAAAAUUCAAAAAAUAUGGUAGAAGUUUUGUACAUUUCAUAUAACGAAAAUAUCAAAAAGAUUUUCUUUCAUAGCUGUUGGUGUCAUUUUUUAUGUGAAGUGUCCAAUUGAAAACUCAAAAAAAGAUUUUGUUAUGUUGUUCAUCGUGUGUCUUUGGUCGUGUCUCAAGUCAGGGUGUAAUCUGUGAUUUAAUCAUUAAUUGUCCAAUCUGGACGAACUAGCACCCCUGAUUCUCCUCUCUCAAGAGUGAGAUACGUAGGCAGCCUAUUGUUGAUUCGGGGACCUUAUUUGAAAAAUUUUAAAAAAAAAAAUUUUCAUUCUUUAUUAGAGUAGGUGUCAUAUAUUUCUUUAAAAGAAAACUGCAAAAAGAUUUUUCUUUAAUAGUUUCAAUUUUCAUUUUCAUAUGAAAUUCGAAAUUGAAAACCCAAAACGAUUUUUUUUUGUAAUCAUAGGUUUUAUUUUGUAGAGGAAUAUGAAAAAAAAAAUUCAAAAAAGAUUUUCUUCACUCUUCAUUUAGAGUAGGUGUGUCAUAUACAUCUUCGAAAAGAAAACCACAAAAAGAUUUUUCUUUAAUAGUUUCAAGUUUCAUUUUCAUAUGAAAUUUAAAAUCGAAAAUUUCAAAAAGAGAUUUUUCUUUGGUUGUCAUAGGUUUUAUUUUGUAUAGGGAAUUUAAAUCUGAAAAAUACAAAAUAGAUUUUCGUCAAUUCUUUUGGUAAUUUGUUAUUUAUUUUUCUUCUUAAAGUUUCAAGAAAAAAAAAAGAGUUUAAUUGGCUAUUUUGGCAAGACUUCACGAACUACGCACACCUGAUUCUCCCCUCUCGGGGGUGAGAUACGUAGGUUCCCUUCUUGGGUUCGGUGAUCUUUUAAAAAAAAAAGAGGUUUUGAAAAAUGUUGAACUCUAACAUAUUUGUUGCCUCUUGUUCAGUUAGUUUAAGGUGGUUGGUUUGUGGCUUCCUGGCUGGUCCUCCAUAUCACACCAAAUCCAAGAAAGGUUUAGUUGUGUCCAACAAAGAUAUAGAGAAUGGCACCAUGGAUGAAACAAAGAGUCAGGAAAUUGAGAGUUUAAAGGAAGAGAAUUUGAGACUGAGAUAACAAAUGAUGAAAAUGUACCGAGUUUGGGCCAGUGAGCUACCUCUACCUCAGUUCUCCACUUUUGACCCUGCAAAUACCUUGAGUCUUCCACCAAAAUCGCAAAGUCAGUUUUCUACUGUUGUUGAUGUACCACAGCAUGCCUCAGAAUCCAUUCCACGUCAAAUACACCUCAAUACUUCCCCCACUCUUUCUUUAGCUCCUCAGUAUAAGUAUCAAUCCAAUGAUUGUGCUUCCCCGGUUCACUAGUGAAUCCACAUUUAAUACUCGUGAUGAUCAUUGUUAUACUCUUGAUCCUACCGUUAAAUUAAGUGGACCGUCAAAAUUUCUUACUAAGAAGCCUAGCAUGCUAGAAGAUCUAGAGAAAGUGGUUGGGAAAGUUAAGAGUGUAGAAAAUGAAAUGAAAAAUUCCCCUGGACUUAUGGGCUAUGAAGAUGUUUCAUAUAAAAACUGUGGCAUGUCUUUAAGUGUUAACCUUCCUCCCAGCUUUGAGACAUCAAAAUUUGGGGAGCCUGAUGGACAGAAGGAUUCUGUGAAAUAUUUGGAACGACAUUGCAAUCAACCAAGGGAAACUGAAGGAAAGAAGAAGGAAAAUGCACCUAUUAUCAUGCUAGGGCCAAAGCAGAGUUUGAGAGGUCCAACCCACCAAUACUGUCAGCCUCAAUCCUGAGCUUACAUAUUAGAUCCACAUAACCACUUGCAACAAGGUUUCUUUCCCCAAAUAUUAAGAAAUCCUAUUCCACUUCCUCAAUAUCCUUUCAACAAUGCACAAUUGUAUGCUCAUCCAUCUUUUUAUCCACAAUGGCAUGCACCUGUCCCUCAACAUCGUCCGUGACCCCCACAAAUUUACCAAGGAACCUUUAAAUCCAAGUUUCAUCCGAGGCCAGAGUUCGCAAAGAGAAGGAAGGAAAAAGAUAAUUACACUUUUAUUGGGGAAUCUUAUGCCAGUUUAUUCCUAAGAUUGGUAUGGCAGGGCAUGAUCACUCCUCUCCUUGAGUGUACUCCUGACCCACAUUCAAGAAGUUUUGAUCCUAAUGUACGAUGUGCAUGUCAUUCUGAUGUUCAGGGUCACAGUAUUGAAGAUUGUCAUGCUUUAAAAAGAGAAAUUGAAAAGAUGAUUCAAGAUAAAAUAAUUAUGGUGCAGAACAUUGACAGUGAGAAAAGCUCUAGUCAUGGUGAUAUGCAAACCAGUGACUAAGAUGUCAGGUUGAGCAAUUGAGAAGUCACCCCUCCCUACUAGGAAGAGGUCUGGUAGUUUAUUUUAUUUUAUUUUCUGUUAUCCGAAUUAUUUCAGAGCUGUAGCUCGGGAUCUAUUUUGUUUUGUCCCUUUGUUGUUAUGUUCAAACCCUUCUAUCUUUCAUUUCAACUAAAUGAAGUGUCCCAUUUUCCUUUGUAUUUUAAAUAUGUGUUGUUUGUUUGUUUUCUUUACAUAGUACAUUUUAUGUUGACUCUAGUGAUAUGACAUGCUAGUGAAAUUUUUAGCCAGAUCUUACAUUCAAGUUUAAGCAUGAGCAUUGAAUCAGAGGGUUAAAGUUAGAAAAAGAGAGCCUCUGAGAAAAUAGAUAGAGUGCUGAGGCAUUUGGUGAUCAAGUUGAAGCCUUCUUUGAAAAUUAAGAAAAUUAUUUUGAGAAUCGUGAGAAUAACUUGGUCAACAUUUGAAAGACAUGUCUCAAUUAUGUCAAAUAGUGGACGUGUGAUCCUACAUCAAAAGGAAUAGAAAAAUUAGCUCCACGAAAGCAUAAGGAAUGUACAACAAAGAUGGAGUUUGCAGAAAAAGUAGUGACGCACAGUCUCAGUAAAAUUAGUGCUGUAAAAAAUAUCACAAAUGAUCUUCAUCUCUCACUUUCAUAUUGCAUGAUAUGUACUUGCAUUUUCAAGGAUUAAUAUGACGAAGGCAUUUCAUUCUGCUAUCUAAACAUCGUGUCAUCCUUUGUUUACCCCAUUUGAGCUUUAGUCAUAUUUUCUUUCAUACCCCUCUUUUGGAAUCAAUAUAGAGUCAACAAAGCUCAAAAUAAAAGGUGACGAGCAACACAGUAGAAUCAGAGAAGUUUCAAAAAAAAAAUGUGUCCAAAAAGAGGAAAAGAAAAGCGUCGAGAAAAAUAAAGUCAGAAAAAUCUCAAAGAGAAAAAGAGUCAACAAAAGAAAAAAAUUAGAAUCAAGUGAAAAACAAGCUGCCAGAACUACGCGUGACCUGAUUCUCCUCUCUCGGGGGUGAGAUACGUACGCUGCCCUACCUUGGGUUCGGUCCAACCAAAUAAAUAGUUUAGAAUUGCCCAGUCAAAAGAAACUGGGGCAUGAGUUAAUCCUCAUUGUUUGAGUCGAUUCCAAAAGUUGUAAGUCCUAUCCCACUUCAAGUGUCGUUUGGGCCCCAUGCCAUCCUUUCUUUCUAACCCUAUCCAAAAGCCAAGUUACAACUAAAGAAAGACCUUUAGAUCAAUCUUUGAGGAUGUUAAGGCUGAGCAUACAAGGGAUAUGAUGAUGCAUUUGGGAACUAUUUGUCUUCCUCAACAUAAGAAAUUAGGCGAGAAAUAAAAAUGAGAGAGUCUUAUUGGUGAAAACUCUCACGGGCACCGUAAGACGAUGGUAAGUUGAGAGAAAUAAAAAUGAGAGAGUCUUAUCGGUGAAAACUGUCACGGGCAUCGUAAGAUGACUGUGAGUUAAGAAAAACGAAGAUAAGAGAGUCUCAUUAGUGGAAAAUCCUUACAGACACCAUAAGGCAAUGGUGAGCUGAGGAAAAAAAAUAAGAGAAGCUUGUUGGUGCAAACCCUUCAAGGCGCCACUAGCCGAAUGAGGUCGUAAAUGCAAUUGACCUAAGGAAGUAACUCAGUUUCAAAGUUUGGAUGAAAAGAUCAAGCUGCUUAAUCCAAAAUACAUGGCAUAAUCAUUAGAGUUGACUGUCAUUUUUUCGAUGAAUUUGUUAUUUCUUUGUUUCAAACGGGGACAUUUAUUGUCUUUUCUUUCUUCUCUUUAUUUUGUUUAUAUUUCUUGAGUCAGUUAUCCAAAUAAAAAUUGUCAUUCUGUUUUCUUUUCUUGUCUUUGAGUCAAGCCCAUGUCAAAACAAAAGAGAAAAGAUUUCAAAACUAGCUACCAGCUUCAUCAAUUACACAGAGCAAGACAAAAGCUAGCACAUAAAAGAGACAUGAUUGUGAGACAAAAAGGGUAGGUAGAAAGUUUUACCAACAGAGAAGUCAGGGAACUCAUGUAAAUGCCAAGGUUCAAAGGCCUAUCUGAGAAGCAUGGUAAAGCAGAGAUACUGUGUUCGUUUCAGUCACUCUUAAUGACCUGAGUUUGAGUCAAUGAUGUAGCAAGUCAAUGACAUAUACUAAUGGUUGGAAGCAAGGUUAAAUGUGAUUGGGGAAAGAGGGAUUGCCUCGAAAGUCAAAGCCACAAACCAGCCACCAUGUUUUAAACUCAGAAGUUUUCUUUGUAUGAAACAGGAACAUGUUACCUUCAAAUCAAGGAUUUCUAAUCCCAAACAGCAAAGGCCAUAAUUUCUAACUUUUACAAAGGCAAGAGGCAAUAUUGCUGCACAGGUUUGAUAAUCUAGUCAUGGUAAAAUUCAUCAUCUUAUAUCCCUCGGAGACCCACUUUCUUGUCUAGGGAUUUCGAUUUUCAUUUGCUGGGUGAUACACUUCUUAAAUUGAACCUUCAUUCCUAGAAGGCAUACCUUCUAGUCGAGUCAUUCCAUUUGACUCCUAGAAGAUGUACCUUUUAGUCGAGUCAUUUCCCUUGAUUCCUAGGAGAUGUACCUUUUAGUCGAGUCAUUCCCUUUGAUUCCUAUAAGACGUACCUUUUAGUCGAGUCAUCUCCUUUGAUUUUUAUAAGACGUACCUUUUAGUCGAGUCAUUUUCUUUGAUUUCUAUAAGACGUACCUUUUAGUCGAGUCAUUCCCCUUGAACCCUAGAAGACGUACCUUUUAGUCGAGUCAUUUUUUUUAUUCCUAUUAGACGUACCUUUUAGUCGAGUCAUCCCCUUUGAUUCCUAUAAGACGUACCUUUUAGUCAAGUCAUUCCCUUUGAUUCCUAGAAGACGUACCUUUUAGUUGGACAUUCCCCUUGACCCCUAGAAGACGUACCUUUUAGUCGAGUCAUUUUCCUUGACUCUUAGAAGACGAACCUUUUAGUCGAGUCAUUUUCUUUGAUUCUUAUUAAACGUACCUUUUAGUCGAGUCAUCCCCUUUGACUCCUAUAAGACGUACUUUUUAGUUGAGUCAUUUCCUUUGAUUCCUAUAAGACAUACCUUUUAGUCGAGUCAUUCCUUUUGAUUCCUAUUAGACGUACCUUUUAGUCGAGUCAUCCCCUUUGAUUCCUAUAAGACGUUUCUUUUAGUCGAGUCAUUCCCUUUGAUUCCUAUAAGACGUACCUUUUAGUCGAGUUAUCUCCUUUGAUUCCUAUAAGACGUACCUUUUAGUCGAGUCAUUCCCUUUGAUUCUUAUAAGAUGUACCUUUUAGUCGAGUCAUUCUCCUUAAUUCCUAUAGUGAUGUGACUUUCACAAAAGUCCUUUGAUGAUAAACUAGGGCAAAAUUUAAUUCUUGUUUUUAGAACUUUACUUUUCUAGCAAACAAAAUUUCUCUUUAUAAUAAUUUUUGUUUAAGAUAAUUUUCUUUCCAGUUUUGAUGUGAUUUCAGGAGUCUGUCCAAAGCACAGGGCGAAUAAAUGGAAAAUCAAGCAACACAAUGAAGAAAUUAAAAGCUAAACAGAUUGAAAAAUAGCAAGUCAGGAACCUGCCUGCAGAACAGGGUGAAGAAAUUGAAAGCAUAACAACAAGUUGAUAAAAUAGCAAGUUAGGAACCUGCCUGAAGAACAGGGUGAAGAAAUUUAAAACCAAGCAACAAGUGAUGAAAUUGGAACUCAGGAGCCCGCCUGAAGAACAGGGUGAAGAAAUUGCAAGUCAGGAGCCCGCCUGAAGAAUAGGGUGAUGAAACUCAAGUCAGAAAGUCCAAAAGAAGCUGCGUAGAUAGGUUUAUGUAAUUUCAUUUAUGUUUUUAACUUGUAAUUUUCAUUUUUGAUGUAACGACAGAGUCGCGGACCGGAACCUCGACGGAACCUCACUCGACUCUCCAACUCGGUUGUCCUUCUUUCUUUUGUUUCUUCCUUUGAAUAAUUGUGGGGUCAACAUUCUGUCUCGUUGUCUACUUCUUUGUAUGAAAACACUUUGUGUUUACAUGCAAAGAGGGGCAUGAUGUAGACACGUAAUUUUGUCCAUCCCUGAAAGCAUUCUUACUAUUUUACCCUCGUCUUAGUGUGUGCCCUCACCCACGUGAUUAUAUCCCACAAAAGAACAAAAAUAACAACUCUAAACAAACCCAUAACAAAUUAUCCUAUCCUAAUCAUCCCUACCCUACCCCACUACCCCUACCCUCACCUCACCACCCCUAACCCCUUAACAGAUAUAUACAUAUCCAUAUACGGAUAGAGACGAAAAGAGAAGGGGGAACAAAAAAAUAGAAUUCCAUUUUUUUUCAAGGGGGCUCACAGGGAAUUCCCUAAUUGAUAUAUACACACACAUCAUCAUCUUCAUCGAAGGGGACCAUAUUCACAUCACAAUAAAAAACUCACCCUCACAAUUCUCACCUUCACGCACUGCAAAUACAUACACACUCUCAACACACUACUCACCUUCUUCUCCAGAAUCUCCAUAAAAAUCAGACUAUACGCACACAUACACCUUCCUCCACUUCUCUGGUUUUGGACACACAUGAACAAAAACGGAGAGGCAGAGAGAAGAAGAUGGGGUCAGAGAGAGAACAUAGAGGGAGAGAGGGAGAAACAUAAUUUCUGCGUCUCGUUACAAUUUCAGUGACUGAUUCGCCGAAAAUAAGUCAAACCGUCUUAAAAUCUGUUCAAACCCACCAAAAUUCUGCAAUCAGUAACAGUAAUUCACACCCUCCAUCGAUCUUCUUAGCGAAUUUCUCACCGGAAAGCGUUAUUUGUCAUCUGUUAUAGUCCGUCGAAACUCCUUUAGAGUGAACCUCACUGGAAAACCAGGACCAGCUGCUGCCAGUAACCAUCCUAUUCAAAUUGGAGCUUUGAGUGGGUUUCGGUAAAGUUCAUCGAGAACCACACUUUUUUUAGUUUUCUCGCGAUUUUGGUGU